CCUACGGGGGGCUGCAGUGGGGAAUAUUGGACAAUGGGGGCAACCCUGAUCCAGCCAUGCCGCGUGUGUGAAGAAGGCCCUCGGGUUGUAAAGCACUUUCAGUGAGGAAGAACGCCUGGUGGUUAAUACCCAUCAGGAAAGACAUCACUCACAGAAGAAGCACCGGCUAACUCCGUGCCAGCAGCCGCGGUAAUACGGAGGGUGCGAGCGUUAAUCGGAAUUACUGGGCGUAAAGCGCGCGUAGGUGGCUUGAUAAGCCGGUUGUGAAAGCCCCGGGCUCAACCUGGGAACGGCAUCCGGAACUGUCAAGCUAGAGUGCAGGAGAGGAAGCUAGAAUUCCCGGUGUAGCGGUGAAAUGCGUAGAGAUCGGGAGGAAUACCAGUGGCGAAGGCGGCCUUCUGGACUGACACUGACACUGAGGUGCGAAAGCGUGGGUAGCAAACAGGAUUAGAUACCCCUGUAGUC
rnacentral:rRNA from 1 species